GCCCGGAUCCGGGGUGGUAGGCGGCGGCCCGGGGCAUUUGGGCCCUUCGCCGGGGAAUCAUGCUGUCGCGUGGUGUGUUGAUCUUUCGCGCCGGACUCCCUCAAAGCAACGUGGAGGCGGCCUAAAACAUCGAGCAGUCACAAUUCCAGCUCUUCAGCCUUCCUGUUUCUCGCGCUUCGCGAGAUCGACCGCGCGCCACAGGUACCAACUGGCGACUGAACGAUACGGCCGCCACCGUUCCCCAUGUUCGAGCAACUCGGUGGACUUUGGCAGGUCCUCCAAUCCGUAAGUCAGCGAGAAUCCCUUCCGCACACCGUAAUCCCCCACCGGCAGGACAUCCGGCCGGCCCAAUUUGAAAAUCAGCAGCAUCUCGACGGUCCAUUGCCCGACGCCGCGGAUGGCUGUCAGGCGCUCGAUGAUCUCCGCGUCCGGUAGCCUAGCCAGCGCACGGGCGUUGGGCACGACGCCUUCGAGUGUUUUGGUCGAAAUGUCCUUCACGCCCGCGACCUUGGCCCGCGAGAGCCCGGCGCCUCGUAGUUUCUCAUCGGGCGUGCCCAGGAGGUCCUCGGCGCUCGGGAAUUUGCGGUGCGGAUGCAAUGCCUUCACACGGCCCAGGAUGGUUUGCGCGGCCUUGCCGGUGAGUUGCUGGUGGGCAACCGCCUCGACCAGCGCUUCGAACGGCGACUGCCUGCGAUCCGGGCGCAGACCGCAGGGGCCCGCGCGGUCGAUAAUGCGGGCCAGCUUCUUGUCGGCCUUGCGCAAAUGGGUAAUGGCGUCUUCGUGCAUCGGUUGUCACCGAAGCUGUCGCGGCCAAUCAAGCCACGCAAGCUCGAAGGCUGGCGGAGCAGUUGCGCCAGGAGGGAGACGACCAUGUAUUUUGUUGCAACCCGACUGUCACGGGAAAACCACCGUACCCCGGUCACAAUUCCCAGAAGUUUCUUGAAAUAAACUGGCGACCCGCACGUUUAUCUGGAAAGAUAAGACUCGACCUAAGACAUGCAUUACCGCCAGCAAUUGAACGCGCGCAUGAAUCCCCGCCCUUCCUUUCCCGCACGGCGCGCUGCUAUUCUCCUGUCGAUGGGAGUCGUGCUCGCCGGCUCGGCCCAGGCGCAGUUGUUCCAAAACUUGCAGUCCCUGUCGCAAUCUGUUCCGGUGGGAAGCGGGCAGACGGAUCCCAUCACCGGUGAGCGCCUGGACGGACCGAGGUGGGUUUGUGCGGCGGAUUUUGACCAGGACGGCAACCAGGAUUUCGCUACAUGCCACCUCAACGG
rnacentral:misc_RNA from 1 species